UAACGAUACGGGACUCAUCCGAGGCCCCGUAAUCGGAAUGAGUACACUUUAAAUCCUUUAACGAGGAUCCAUGGAGGGCAAGUCUGGUGCCAGCAGCCGCGGUAAUUCCAGCUCCAAUAGCGUAUAUUAAAGUUGUUGCGGUUAAAAAGCUCGUAGUUGAAUCUGUGUGCCACGCUGUCGGUUCAUCGCUCGCGAUGUUUAACUGACAUGAUUGUGGGACGUCCUACCGGUGGGCUUAGCUCCGCGCAAGCGGGGCGGUCCAGCUAAUAUCCCAUCGCGGUGCUCUUCAUCGAGUGUCGAGGUGGGCCGGUACGUUUACUUUGAACAAAUUAGAGUGCUCAAAGCAGGCUAUGUUCGCCUGAAUACUGUGUGCAUGGAAUAAUGGAAUAGGACCUCGGUUCUAUUUUGUUGGUUUUCGGAACCCCGAGGUAAUGAUUAAUAGGGACAGAUGGGGGCAUUCGUAUUGCGACGUUAGAGGUGAAAUUCUUGGAUCGUCGCAAGACGGACAGAAGCGAAAGCAUUUGCCAAAAAUGUUUUCAUUAAUCAAGAACGAAAGUUAGAGGUUCGAAGGCGAUCAGAUACCGCCCUAGUUCUAACCAUAAACGAUGCCAGCUAGCGAUCCGCCGAAGUUCCUCCGAUGACUCGGCGGGCAGCUUCCGGGAAACCAAAGCUUUUGGGUUCCGGGGGAAGUAUGGUUGCAAAGCUGAAACUUAAAGGAAUUGACGGAAGGGCACCACCAGGAGUGGAGCCUGCGGCUUAAUUUGACUCAACAC
rnacentral:rRNA from 1 species